rnacentral:rRNA from 1 species
UUUGAACGCGAAAGACCUUACCUGGGUUUGACAUAUAGGGAAAUCUCCCAGAGAUGGGGGGUCCGUAAGGGUCCUAUACAGGUGGUGCAUGGCUGUCGUCAGCUCGUGUCGUGAGAUGUUGGGUUAAGUCCCGCAACGAGCGCAACCCUCGUCCUAUGUUGCCAGCACGUUAUGGUGGGGACUCAUAGGAGACUGCCGGGGUCAACUCGGAGGAAGGUGGGGAUGACGUCAAGUCAUCAUGCCCCUUAUGUCCAGGGCUUCACGCAUGCUACAAUGGCCGGUACAAAGGGCUGGGAAGCUGUAAGGUGGAGCGAAUCCCAAAAAGCCGGUCUCAGUUCGGAUUGGGGUCUGCAACUCGACCCCAUGAAGUCGGAGUCGGUAGUAAUCGCAGAUCAGCAACGCUGCGGUGAAUACGUUCCCGGGUCUUGUACACACGCAAAA